rnacentral:rRNA from 1 species
AUUGAACGCUGGCAGCAGGCCUAACACAUGCAAGUCGAGCGGAUGAAGGGAGCUUGCUUCUGGAUUCAGCGGCGGACGGGUGAGUAAUGCCUAGGAAUCUGCCUGGUAGUGGGGGACAACGUUUCGAAAGGAACGCUAAUACCGCAUACGUCCUACGGGAGAAAGCAGGGGACCUUCGGGCCUUGCGCUAUCAGAUGAGCCUAGGUCGGAUUAGCUAGUUGGUGAGGUCAUGGCUCACCAAGGCGACGGUCCGUAACUGGUCUGAGAGGAUGAUCAGUCACACUGGAACUGAGACACGGUCCAGACUCCUACGGGAGGCAGCAGUGGGGAAUAUUGGACAAUGGGCGAAAGCCUGAUCCAGCCAUGCCGCGUGUGUGAAGAAGGUCUUCGGAUUGUAAAGCACUUUAAGUUGGGAGGAAGGGUUGUAGAUUAAUACUCCGCAAUUUUGACGUUACCGACAGAAUAAGCACCGGCUAACUCUGUGCCAGCCGCCGCCGUAA